ensembl:lncRNA
CCGAGGUCUGAGGCCUCAGUUACCCCAAGGAAGACACGAGGCUGGGCUGUGAGGAGUCCCUGAGUGCUCCUUUCUCCGGGCCUGGGUAAUCCCUCCAGAAAGCAGAGGAGACCUUCAGGUGUCCAUCUACUGCACACACUUGGUAAUACAGGAAAGUAGGUCAAUGUUUACUUACCUAACCUUGGAGAAGGCUCCUGAGAGCUCCUUGAACUGCAAGGAGCUCAAACCAGUCCGUCCUAAAGGAAUUCAGUCCUGAGUAUUCAUUGGAAGGACCAAUGCUCAAGCUGAAGCUCCAAUACUUUGGCCACCUGAUGUGAAGAACUGACUGUUUGGAAAAGACCAUGAUGCUGGGAAAGAUUGAAGGCGGGAGGAGAAGGGGACGACAGAGGAUGAGAUGGUUGGAUGGCAUCACCCACUCGAUGGACAUGAGUUUGAGCAAGCUCCGGGAGUUGGUGAUGGACAGGGAGGCCUGAUGGGCAGCAGUCCACGGGGUUGCAGAGCUGGACGCAACUGAGCGACUGAACUGAACUGAAGCCAGUGUUCAGCUUAGAAAGCGCAGCUUGGAGGUGAAGUCGGCGAGCCCUCUCUUUCUCUGACCUGCUGACUUUGGCUUCUUUUUCAAAAGAGCCUCAGACCCUGCCCCGCCCCCCCCACUGGCUUUGUUGCAAGUGAAUUUUUUCUUAGGAAUUGCAUCCUAGAUGAUGCUCAUUUGUUUUGAACAUUAAUAACAUCCAAAUAUCUGUCUCAUCCCAACACCUGGAAUCCCCUCUAUUAUCUGACUGGUUUAACAGUUCCAGUCUUAUUUUUCUUCAAAGAUGCAAAUACACAACCAAGCUUCCAAUGUGAGAAAUGUGCCCAUAGGACGUAAGGAAAUAGGGGGAGAGGAAGGCAGCAGAGAAGGGAGGGAGGGAAGGAAGAGAGAGGGAGGGAAGAGGGAGGAGGGUGCACAGGACAGCUCGCUAAAACGUGACCAGUGGCCCUGCAUCCACUUUGAUGGGAGGCCCAUCAAGAUGGAUUUAAAAUAUGUAAAUUGGAUUCAGAAGUCAGAAUUCAGUGACAUUAAUGAGUUCGGCUGAAGCUGGAGGAGGUUCAGGAAGUCCGUGGAAGACUCAAGGCAAAGUAGAGAGCUAAAACCACCUUUUGAAGAGGUUUGAAGGAGAAAGCAAUGUGGACUCACUGUGCACCAGCUCCAGGGGGCCAGGCAGUGACCAGGUGGAAGGAGGGGCCCACAGGAGAACGCGCAGAUGAACCUAAGGGCUGAGGAAAGGGAUGCUGUGGGCCGGAGCGCAUGGUGAGAGGGGGAGCAGGGAGGGGGGUACAGCAGAAGAGGAGAGGGCCUGGGAUUGGCUGUGAAGGGGGUGCAGCCUAGGAGCGCCUGGGGUACUUCUCAACUGUCUGCGUUCAAUUCGAUAACUUUCAGUGGAGGCAUCGCACCUUAGCAGACCUCGCAGGGCGAGGUACAUGCUUUGCUUCCUGCGUGCGCGUUUAUACUGGAAGGGCUUAAUUUUACUCAGACUGUGAUGGAAGAAGCCUUCCAACAUGCUGGUUCCUUAGUCCCGGGGCUUGAGACCCUCUCACCACCUGUUGGCUGAGCCACUCUGCCUAAAUAAUACUUACAUUAAUUAAGAUUUAUUAACUGGAUAGCUUAGGAAAAUUAAAAGUAACACACUCUGGCACUUGAAAUUAAUGAGGCAUCGACUGAUUACCUAAAGAAUGAAAUACUAUAGUCAGAUUCAAAAGCCUUUGCUUAGGAUGACUUUCUUCAAAAAGUAUUGGGUUGGAUUUUAUAACUGGUAAAAUGAAAAAAGUUCAUAUGCAUUAAAAUCACCCACGUCAAAAGUACCCAAGGAAGGUCACUUUCCUCCUGGAAGUGGUUCCAUGUCACUGUUGGAUGUUAAAAUGAACGGGACUUAUUGUCCACAAGGCUACAGUUUCUGUCCUUCAGAACACUUAGAUAGGACCCAAUGGUGCUUCUGGAGUCCUAUGUUUAAGAUAAGCACUGUGAGAUAAUACAUAUGGCUAAUUCACAAAGCGGCACAGCAGAGACUAACACUGAAAAGCAAUUAUAUUCCAAUGAACACUUUUUCUGUCUAUAG